AUUGAACGCUGGCGGCAUGCCUUACACAUGCAAGUCGAACGGUAACAGGUCUUCGGAUGCUGACGAGUGGCGAACGGGUGAGUAAUACAUCGGAACGUGCCCGAUCGUGGGGGAUAACGCAGCGAAAGCUGUGCUAAUACCGCAUACGAUCUACGGAUGAAAGCGGGGGAUCGCAAGACCUCGCGCGGACGGAGCGGCCGAUGGCAGAUUAGGUAGUUGGUGGGAUAAAAGCUUACCAAGCCGACGAUCUGUAGCUGGUCUGAGAGGACGACCAGCCACACUGGGACUGAGACACGGCCCAGACUCCUACGGGAGGCAGCAGUGGGGAAUAUUGCGCAAUGGGGGAAACCCUGACGCAGCGACGCCGUGUGAGCGAUGAAGGCCUUCGGGUCGUAAAGCUCUGUCAGAGGGAAAGAAAGGGUACGGCGGAAUAAUACCCGCCGACAUUGACGGUACCCUCGGAGGAAGCACCGGCUAACUCCGUGCCAGCAGCCGAC
rnacentral:rRNA from 1 species